GGGCCCGUAGCUCAGCUUGGCGGAGCGGCCGGCUCAUAACCGGUAGGUCGUGGGUUCAAAUCCCACCGGGCCCA
rnacentral:tRNA from 4 species